rfam:Scheffersomyces stipitis CBS 6054 transcription factor that binds to CRE motif (HAC1), partial mRNA
CGGUAUUUGACAAUAUGGGGCAAAAUUCAGAAGUAAUUUUGUC